rnacentral:rRNA from 1 species
AGCGAACGGACGAGAAGCUUGCUUCUCUGAUGUUAGCGGCGGACGGGUGAGUAACACGUGGAUAACCUACCUAUAAGACUGGGAUAACUUCGGGAAACCGGAGCUAAUACCGGAUAAUAUUUUGAACCGCAUGGUUCAAAAGUGAAAGACGGUCUUGCUGUCACUUAUAGAUGGAUCCGCGCUGCAUUAGCUAGUUGGUAAGGUAACGGCUUACCAAGGCAACGAUGCAUAGCCGACCUGAGAGGGUGAUCGGCCACACUGGAACUGAGACGCGGUCCAGACUCCUACGGGAGGCAGCAGUAGGGAAUCUUCCGCAAUGGGCGAAAGCCUGACGGAGCAACGCCGCGUGAGUGAUGAAGGUCUUCGGAUCGUAAAACUCUGUUAUUAGGGAAGAACAUAUGUGUAAGUAACUGUGCACAUCUUGACGGUACCUAAUCAGAAAGCCACGGCUAACUACGUGCCAGCAGCCGCGGUAAUACGUAGGUGGCAAGCGUUAUCCGGAAUUAUUGGGCGUAAAGCGCGCGUAGGCGGUUUUUUAAGUCUGAUGUGAAAGCCCACGGCUCAACCGUGGAGGGUCAUUGGAAACUGGAAAACUUGAGUGCAGAAGAGGAAAGUGGAAUUCCAUGUGUAGCGGUGAAAUACGCAGAGAUAUGGAGGAACACCAGUGGCGAAGGCGACUUUCUGGUCUGUAACUGACGCUGAUGUGCGAAAGCGUGGGGAUCAAACAGGAUUAGAUACCCUGGUAGUCCACGCCGUAAACGAUGAGUGCUAAGUGUUAGGGGGUUUCCGCCCCUUAGUGCUGCAGCUA